rnacentral:rRNA from 1 species
AUUGAACGCUGGCGGCAGGCCUAACACAUGCAAGUCGAACGAGUGGCGGACGGGUGAGUAAUGUCUGGGAAACUGCACGAUGGAGGGGGAUAACUACUGGAAACGGUAGCUAAUACCGCAUACAAUCGGAUGUGACCAGAUGGGAUGAGCUAGUAGGUGGGGUAACGGCUCAACUAGGCGACGAUCCCUAGCUGGUCUGAGAGGAUGAACAGCCACCCUGGAACUGAUACACGGUCCAGACUCCUACGGGAGGCAGAAGUGGUGAAUAUUUCACAAUUGGCGCAAGCCUGAUGCAGCCAUGCCGCGUGUAUGAAGAAGGCCUUCGGGUUGUAAAGUCCUUUCAGCGGGGAGGCGUUACUCGCAGAAGAAGCACCGGCUAACUCCGUGCCAGCAGCCGCGGUAAUUC